rnacentral:rRNA from 1 species
UACGUAGGGGGCGAGCGUUGUUCGGAAUUACUGGGCGUAAAGCGCGUGUAGGCGGCCCUGCAAGUCGGAUGUGAAAUCCCACGGCUCAACCGUGGAAGUGCAUUCGAAACUGCAGGGCUAGAGUCCUGGAGAGGAAGGUGGAAUGCUUGGUGUAGAGGUGAAAUUCGUAGAUAUCAAGCGGAACACCGGUGGCGAAGGCGGCCUUCUGGACAGUGACUGACGCUGAGACGCGAAAGCGUGGGGAGCAAACAGG